AAGAGAUGGAGGAAGAAAGAAGGAAGUUAAAGAAGAUGAAUGAGGAGCACAAGGAAAAAGAAGGUUGGAGAAGACGUUAUUAUAGACAGUUGAAGCGAACAGAGCCAGGGCGAGGAGCGGCAGGAGCAGCAGUCGGUACCGCUGCAGCUUCGCUGUGGUUCCUCAUGCCCUGUGGAAGAGUUAGUCUGUCACGCUCAGUCCAAGUGUCAACUGUGUGAAGCGAAAGGAGUCAUGCGCAGAGAGCAGUGAGACAACAGCGUGGGUGGGAGGCUACUCUGCAGAAGAGGGAAGGCAUCGCUGGGUUAGAAGCAUUCCAAAGUGUUCAUUCCAAAGUGUAAGGCAAAUACAAGAGGCUUUCUAGAUUGAGACUGAGAAGACCCAUGGAGACGGAGUGUGGUCCCAAGGAGAAGUGUGGGCAGUGACACAUGGUCUCUCCGAUGGUGUGAGCACAGGUCAGUAUCAGACAGACUUUAAGUGACACAUGGUCUGUCCGAUGGUGUGAGCACAGGUCAGUAUCAGACAGACUUAAGGCCAAGGUCCCAAAGCAUUUUCAGGCAUUCCCUUAGUCCUUGCAUCCUUAUAGAGAAUUCUGAUUAAUCUUAUUUUUAUUGAUUAUUAAUCUUAUUUUACUGAAUGUAUAAUAUAGAUUAUAAAUGCUGAAGAGUUUGGCCUCAAGCAUAACAAAUUACCAAGAGCUCACCUUUGUUUCUGUAUGACUCCUUAGAUUCUAAGCACCUGAACAGUAAGAAAAAUUUGUUUAAGCUAUUCUGAUUUUUAUUUCGGGGCUCCAUAGCUGAGGAUUAAACCCCUGCCACCAGGAGCAUGCACAUACCCAGGAAGCUGCGGAAGAGGCCCAGAGCUAGGAUGAUAAAGUUCUUCCAUGAAAAUCAAACAGCAAGCCCGUGUGUUGUCCUGAAGACCACAUAGUAAGCAUGGCAACAGCAACAGCUUCUCUGCUAACCUGAGGACAAUGAAUGACAAGGAUUGAGAACACACCAUCCCAAAGCUCUCGUUCCAUGGCUCUGGUUUGAGACCCAGAAUAAGGAGCUCUUUCUCCUUGGCUUUAAACAUCAGGCGUGGGACUCUUGUUCAGGAGCUGCCCUGCCUCUCAUCUGAGCACAGCCCCAUAACCACAGUAAGGAAUGCACAGACCGCCAGAGACGGACGUGGGCUUCGCUCCUCUCCACCAAUGCUCCCGGCUUCUUCCCUAAUGUGAAUUACAGGUCUCUCGGCACAAUCCCUCCACCUCUUCCUGCUACACUUAUGCAAAUAGUCGCUCUGAAUCCAACAUGACACCUUUUAGUUAAUCCUGGAACAUUAGGUAUUGUAACUGUCUGGUGGAAGAAGCAGAAAAAAUUCUGUUCGAUAUGGAAAUAACUAUAAAGCACAUGGAAAAUGGA